AGAGUUUGAUCCUGGCUCAGAUUGAACGCUGGCGGCAUGCUUUACACAUGCAAGUCGAACGGUAACAGGGAGCUUGCUCCGCUGACGAGUGGCGAACGGGUGAGUAAUAUAUCGGAACGUACCCAAGAGUGGGGGAUAACGUAGCGAAAGUUACGCUAAUACCGCAUACGAUCUAAGGAUGAAAGCAGGGGACCGCAAGGCCUUGUGCUCMUGGAGCGGCCGAUAUCUGAUUAGCUAGUUGGUAGGGUAAAGGCCUACCAAGGCAUCGAUCAGUAGCUGGUCUGAGAGGACGACCAGCCACACUGGAACUGAGACACGGUCCAGACUCCUACGGGAGGCAGCAGUGGGGAAUUUUGGACAAUGGGCGCAAGCCUGAUCCAGCAAUGCCGCGUGAGUGAAGAAGGCCUUCGGGUUGUAAAGCUCUUUUGUCAGGGAAGAAACGGGUGUGGCUAAUAUCUGCAUCUAAUGACGGUACCUGAAGAAUAAGCACCGGCUAACUACGUGCCAGCAGCCGCGGUAAUACGUAGGGUGCAAGCGUUAAUCGGAAUUACUGGGCGUAAAGCGUGCGCAGGCGGUUUUGUAAGUCUGUUGUGAAAUCCCCGGGCUUAACCUGGGAAUGGCAAUGGAGACUGCAAGGCUAGAGUUUGGCAGAGGGGGGUAGAAUUCCACGUGUAGCAGUGAAAUGCGUAGAGAUGUGGAGGAACACCGAUGGCGAAGGCAGCCCCCUGGGYCAAKACUGACGCUCAUGCACGAAAGCGUGGGKAGCAAACAGGAUUAGAUACCCUGGUAGUCC
rnacentral:rRNA from 1 species